rnacentral:rRNA from 1 species
UGAGACCUCGGGACGCAGCAGUGAGGAAUAUUGGUCAAUGGACGCAAGUCUGAACCAGCCAUGCCGCGUGCAGGAUGACGGCUCUAUGAGUUGUAAACUGCUUUUGUACGAGGGUAAACCCCGAUACGUGUAUCGGGUUGAAAGUAUCGUACGAAUAAGGAUCGGCUAACUCCGUGCCAGCAGCCGCGGUAAUACGGAGGAUGCGAGCGUUAUCCGGAUUUAUUGGGUUUAAAGGGUGCGUAGGCGGAACAUUAAGUCAGCGGUAAAAUCGAGGGGCUCAACCCCUUUAAGCCGUUGAAACUGGU